CUUCAUCUGUUUAAUAAUAAAUCCCUUCUUCUCUUGCAGCGCCUUUGCAAACCAGUGCUCCUGCUGGAAGGCGGUGGAGGAGGCGAUGCUAUGUGUCCUG